GACGAACGCUGGCGGCGGGCUUAACACAUGCAAGUCGAACGGAAAGGCCCUGCUUUUGUGGGGUGCUCGAGUGGCGAACGGGUGAGUAACACGUGAGUAACCUGCCCUUUACUUUGUGAUAACUUCAGGAAACUGGGGCUAAUACCGGAUAGGAGCUCCUGCUGCAUGGGGGGGUUUGGACAGUUUCGGCGGUUGGGGAUGGGCGCGCGGCUUAUCAGCUUGUUGGUGGGGUGGUUGCUUACCCAGGGUUUGGAGGGUAGCCGGCCUGGGAGGGUGACCGGCGACAUUAGGACUGAGAUACGGCCCAGACUGCAACGGGAGGCAGCAGUGGGAAAUAUUGCACAAUGGGGGGAAGUGUGAGACAGAAAAGCCGCGUGCGGGAUGACGGCCUUCGGGUGGUAAACCGCAUUAGCCUGUGACGAAGCGUGAGUGACGGUAAUGGGUAAAGAAGCACCGGCUAACUACGUG
rnacentral:rRNA from 1 species